GAUGAACGCUAGCGACAGGCUUAACACAUGCAAGUCGAGGGGCAGCAGGGGAGUAGCAAUACUCCCGCUGGUGACCGGCGCACGGGUGAGUAACACGUAUGCAACCUGCCCUUGUCAGGGGGAUAAGCGGAAGAAAUUCCGUCUAAUACCGCAUAAUGCUGCGGGGAGACAUCUCCCUGCAGCCAAAGAUUUAUCGGACAAGGAUGGGCAUGCGGCGCAUUAGCUGGUUGGCGGGGUAACGGCCCACCAAGGCGACGAUGCGUAGGGGUUCUGAGAGGAAGGUCCCCCACACUGGUACUGAGACACGGACCAGACUCCUACGGGAGGCAGCAGUGAGGAAUAUUGGUCAAUGGCCGGGAGGCUGAACCAGCCAAGUCGCGUGAGGGAAGACGGUCCUAUGGAUUGUAAACCUCUUUUGUCAGGGAGCAAAAACUGCCACGCGUGGCAGGAUGAGAGUACCUGAAGAAAAAGCAUCGGCUAACUCCGUGCCAGCAGCCGCGGUAAUACGGAGGAUGCGAGCGUUAUCCGGAUUUAUUGGGUUUAAAGGGUGCGUAGGCGGACAGUUAAGUCAGCGGUAAAAUUGAGAGGCUCAACCUCUUCCCGCCGUUGAAACUGAUUGUCUUGAGUGGGCGAGAAGUAUGCGGAAUGCGUGGUGUAGCGGUGAAAUGCAUAGAUAUCACGCAGAACUCCGAUUGCGAAGGCAGCAUACCGGCGCCCAACUGACGCUGAAGCACGAAAGCGUGGGUAUCGAACAGGAUUAGAUACUCUGGUAGUCCACGCAGUAAACGAUGAAUACUAAUUGUUUGGGUCAAAUGAGAUCUGAGUGAUACAGCGAAAGCGUUAAGUAUUCCACCUGGGGAGUACGCCGGCAACGGUGAAACUCAAAGGAAUUGACGGGGGCCCGCACAAGCGGAGGAACAUGUGGUUUAAUUCGAUGAUACGCGAGGAACCUUACCCGGGCUCAAACGACACAGGAAUGAUCUGAGAAAUCAGGCAGUCCUCCGGGACCUGUGUCGAGGUGCUGCAUGGUUGUCGUCAGCUCGUGCCGUGAGGUGUCGGCUUAAGUGCCAUAACGAGCGCAACCCCCAUCGACAGUUGCCAGCAGGUGAAGCUGGGCACUCUGUCGAGACUGCCGGCGCAAGCUGUGAGGAAGGCGGGGAUGACGUCAAAUCAGCACGGCCCUUACGUCCGGGGCGACACACGUGUUACAAUGGCAGGUACAGCGGGAAGCCACCUGGCGACAGGGAGCGGAACCCGAAAGCCUGUCUCAGUUCGGAUUGGAGUCUGCAACUCGACUCCAUGAAGCUGGAUUCGCUAGUAAUCGCGCAUCAGCCACGGCGCGGUGAAUACGUUCCCGGGCCU
rnacentral:rRNA from 1 species